CUGGGGAGGUGAGAAGGCCAUCACCGGACACACUGCGCAAAAGAAGCCAGGCGAGACAUUUCAAAAGGACAUGAUCCAAUAGUCGCAUUAAGAUUUGAGCAGCUCGAACGCCUCCUCCCUGAAGACGAAGUAGACGAAGUCGGCCGUCUCGAAGGAGCCGACGAACUGGGG